rnacentral:rRNA from 1 species
UGGGGAAUUUUGGACAAUGGGGGAAACCCUGAUCCAGCCAUCCCUCGUGCGCGAUGAAGGCCUUCGGGUUGUAAAGCACUUUUGGCAGGAAAGAAACGUCAUGGGUUAAUACCCCGUGAAACUGACGGUACCUGCAGAAUAAGCACCGGCUAACUACGUGCCAGCAGCCGCGGUAAUACGUAGGGUGCAAGCGUUAAUCGGAAUUACUGGGCGUAAAGCGUGCGCAGGCGGUUCGGAAAGAAAGAUGUGAAAUCCCAGAGCUCAACUUUGGAACUGCAUUUUUAACUACCGGGCUAGAGUGUGUCAGAGGGAGGUGGAAUUCCGCGUGUAGCAGUGAAAUGCGUAGCUAUGCGGAGGAACACCGGUGGCGAAGGCAGCCUCCUGGGAUAACACUGACGCUCAUGCACGAAAGCGUGGGGAGCAAACAGG